UACGUAGGGUGCGAGCGUUGUCCGGAAUUAUUGGGCGUAAAGAGCUCGUAGGCGGUUUGUCGCGUCUGCUGUGAAAACUCGGGGCUUAACCCCGGGCCUGCAGUGGGUACGGGCAGACUAGAGUGCGGUAGGGGAGACUGGAAUUCCUGGUGUAGCGGUGAAAUGCGUAGAUAUCGUAAGGAAGACCAGUGGCGAAGGCGGGUCUCUGGACAGUUCCUGACGCUGAGGCACGAAGGUCAGGGGAGCAAACGGG
rnacentral:rRNA from 1 species